rnacentral:rRNA from 1 species
UGCGUAGGCGGGUCUUUAAGUCAGGGGUGAAAUCCUGGAGCUCAACUCCAGAACUGCCUUUGAUACUGAAGAUCUUGAGUUCGGGAGAGGUGAGUGGAACUGCGAGUGUAGAGGUGAAAUUCGUAGAUAUUCGCAAGAACACCAGUGGCGAAGGCGGCUCACUGGCCCGAUACUGACGCCGAGGCACGAAAGCGUGGGAGCAAACA